AUUUGUGAUGAGGCCUUCCUUGUGAGACAGGGUGAAAGCUCAGGAACUCCUGACACCAGCCUUCCCAUAGCCUUCUAAUGCAGGGGCCUCUUACUGUCCCCCACCGAUCACAGGCUAUUAACUCUGCCUUCCCUUGCUGCCUCCUCUGAAGGGAAGACUCUUGUCCAGCACCCACUUAAUCACCUCCCCACUUGUUCCGUGUUGUCCAGUCUGGGUGGGCUCUGUUAGACCCAUCUGGUCAGGCUCUGUGUCUCUUGCUCAGAUCCUCACCAUGGGACAGUUCUGUUAAAUUCAACUUCUCAGUGUUGGUUCUUCUGUGGUGCUAGGAAAUAUACAAGCUGUCGCACUGCGGGACAUUUUUGUUCAGGCCCAAAAUCGAGACAGCUCACCACCUUCUCUGCAGAUAGAAGAGCCAGAAUGGGAAAAGCGAAGAUCCAUCAACCUGUCUGAGCUCAUUGAUGUUUACAGUGAUGGUGUUGAACUACUCCAGAUGGUGAAGGCACCAGAUUCCAACUGCAGCAACCUUCUGAUUACAACCA
rnacentral:sRNA from 1 species